CGCGCAGCAAUCUGUAGCAAUACAGGUUGUGGGCGCGUGGCGAACGGGUGCGUAACACGUGGAUAACCUUCCUUCAGGUGGGGAAUAACCCAGUGAAAAUUGGGCUAAUACCGCAUAACAAGACGAUGCCACAUGGUGUUGUCUUCAAAGGCGCAAGUCGCCAGAAGAGGGAUCCGCGGCCGAUUAGCUUGUUGGCGGGGUAAUGGCCCACCAAGGCAUUGAUCGGUAGCCGGACUGAGAGGUUGGCCGGCCACACUGGAACUGAGACACGGUCCAGACUCCUACGGGAGGCAGCAGUGGGGAAUCUUGCACAAUGGACGAAAGUCUGAUGCAGCAACGCCGCGUGGGGGAUGAAGCUUCUCGGAGUGUAAACCCCUUUCGACCUGGAAGAAAGCCCGCAAGGGUUUGACGGUACAGGUAUAAGAAGCCCCGGCUAACUACGUGCCAGCAGCCGCGGUAAUACGUAGGGGGCCAGCGUUGCUCGGAAUUACUGGGCGUAAAGGGUCCGUAGGCGGUGUGGUAAGUCGGGAGUGAAAUCCCUGGGCUUAACCCAGGGGCUGCUUCCGAAACUGCCGUGCUAGAGUGUGAGAGAGGCGAGUGGAAUUACGGGUGUAGCGGUGAAAUGCGUAGAUAUCCGUAGGAACAUCCGAGGCGAAGGCGGCCCGCUGGAUCACAACUGACGCUGA
rnacentral:rRNA from 1 species